GCUGUUGUGCGCACAUGAAAGUUCCGAAGGAAAUAAGGAAACAGGAGUUACGAGUGAACCAUUUCUAAAUCGAUAUAGAGUCAACGUGCCAAUGAUGAACAUGGAAGAAUUCUCAUCGACAUUCCAAUGCCCAUCGGGUUCCCGAAUGCGCUUGGAAGACGGUCACAGGUGCGCCUUGAUUUAGCGCUGCUCAAGAUUGAGGCAAGAAGCCAUUGGGUGCUCCUGUCACGAGCCUUAAUUUCAGUGUGUCGAUUCAUCGUGUUAUAAUGUGGGAAGUCGUGCAAUUAAAGUGCCUGUAGACUCUGCUGUACUUCUCCGAAA